CACCGUGCAGAGCAGAGCUCAGCCAGCCCAUAGGCUUCGGCUGUUGCACAGACUCCGAGACUCAGUCCCGCCCACUUGACCCUGCUAUCCAAUCAUCACGCGCCUUCCCGACAAGUGCCGGCGAGACCCCGCGAGAUUCCCUCACCUCACACAACCCUCACCUCGAAUGGCCGCACCUUCUUCACCUCACUGGCCAAUCACAUAGCACUGGUUUUCCCAACUGACCAACCGUCUCUCCACAGCUAAAACCUACCCCCAAAAAGGUCACCGGGCCAAUAGAGCUUAAAGGCGGGAACUCAAGUUGAUUGACAGCUCUUCUCACGAGUGACGGAUGCUGAUGGAGCUGUCGUUCUUCAAAUCGUAAGGGGGAGAUUUCCCGUGACGGAUCAGGAAGCGGCUUGUGCCACCUUCGCUGAGGUCAGACGACCAGUCAGAGGCAGGGAUGGCGCGAUGAGCAGGCGAAGCGGCCAAUCCGAGAGGAGGGAGGGCGCGAACUAAGAUGGAUAUUGAAGACCCUGAAAUGUCUUAUCGAAGAGGGAACAAAAGAAUUCAGAUGAUUGACAAAGUUACAGUUAUAAGGUGAACAUCUCUGAAGUGAAAGCUGCACCCCUCAGAAGUAUCACAGUAUUGUAUCUGUCUCGGACGUGAGCUCUGUCACUCCAGGACUUCACUGAUUUUGAAAAAGGCCCAGGAAGAAAAUUCUACAUGCUACAAAAAUUCUUGCCUUUUUUCAACCUGUGUAAUCAAAAUUGCCAUCUUGGUUGUUGCCUGAGCAUCUGGACUACUCCACUGUGCAGAAGAGACAGAAGAUACACACAUUAUCCCAGUUCCUCCGGAGUAUAAACUGUGGACCUUUCUUCAUUGUGUCCAGAGACUCAUCACCAUAAAUAUACAUCAUACAUUUCCUCACACUGCACGGUUUAGACCGCCACCAUAAUGGAAUACAGCGGAACCCACCUGUCAGACCUGAUCCUGCCAGGCUUGCCAUAUUGGUUCAAAAGCUCCGGCUUUACUGUACAGCAGGACAGGGCAUCAAACAUUACGACAGCAAAACGUUCUGUAAGUUUGACACUCGAUGAGCCUGUCUUCUCAUGCUGAACUAAAAAGUGUCUUGACACAAUAUGUGACUCAAAGAAGUUUUACAAAAUGUAAACAAAUCUGAAUCACGGAUAAAAAUGAGGGCUGCUCCCUUUCCAUCAAGAGCUUUUGCCAGGCUGAAGAACUGUCCUGCCACAUUCAUUCACUCAGACAGGUGCUGAUAAACGUGCUGUCUGCUGCAGGCGGGAGAAAAAAAAUCCCCGGGCUUUGUAUGUCAACACCCAGGCAGUUCGGGAGACAGGAUGAAAAUAUAUUUAACACACCACAAGAAUGGAUCAAUCAAAAAUAGGACAAAGAGAAGUACUAAUAAAAACAACCCAACAUUAAGACAUCUACUGAAUAUUGGAUCUGGCUUGGCAAACAUAUGGCCUGAGCACUUAGAGUACAAAUUCCAGAGAAGGAAAGGACAGUUCUUGGAUUUAGGGCUGUGGCUCUGCAUUGCCAUGGAGGAGGCAAUAAAUAGCGCAAUUCAGCGGAUAGGGCAGAGGUCGGGAAUCAGUGGUGAUUCCCAGGUGCUGUUCCUGGCUCUGCCCUUGACCAGUCAUGUGACCAUAGGCACAUCACUUCAUCUCUCUGUGCCUCAGUUCCCUCUUCAGUCUGGCUUGUCUUUUUCGAUUGCCUGCUGUUUGGGGCUGAUGCUGUCUUUUGCUGUGAGUAUGUGCAGUGUCUAGUACAGUGAGGUCCUGAUACCAUCUGGGAUCUCAAGGUAUUACUGUAACAUUGAUAACCAUGAUAGGACUUAAAAUCUACGUAAUGCUUUCGAUCCUCAAUGCACUGUAAAGGCUUGAGAGUGCCUAUCCUUGGGAGGUAUGUGGCAGAGGAGAGAAAGGAGCCAUUCUUUCUAUCCUUCCCGCUAGCACCAAAUUUGUGUGUGUGUAUUUUUCAUUGAACAAAGUCCCAGUCCUAACCAAGACUGGGCUCACAAUUUGGCCCCUAACCCUCCCCCUAGCAUGAACCAUGUAACAGGGCACUGGUCAAGGGUCAGGUCUGAGCCCACUUCAGCGAUCCAGGCUGGGCUUAAGCACCUUGUGCUACACAACAGCAGUUUAUGAGUUCCUUGUCCAGAGGCUAUUGACUUGGAAGUGGAGAAAGACUAAAGGAGGAGAGACUGCAAAGGAGAGCCUCAGGCCUCCAGCAGGAUAGCAAAGGCCCCCUAGAAAAAAGUAAUCAGAGUUGGACCCCAAACCUGUACCUUGGCCUGCUCCAAAUGCAAAUAGACAGGAUGUAAAACCCAUCUGUAAGGGUGUGGGACUCACCCCUUCGGCGCCUCCUGCUGAUUGUCUCUGGGAAUUAGCUCUCCAGUUGUUGGAGCGCCUUCUGCAGGCCGGUGAUCCACCUUACCUCAC